UUUGAUCCUGGCUCAGGAUGAACGCUAGCUACAGGCUUAACACAUGCAAGUCGAGGGGCAGCAUGGUCUUAGCUUGCUAAGGCCGAUGGCGACCGGCGCACGGGUGAGUAACACGUAUCCAACCUGCCGUCUACUCUUGGACAGCCUUCUGAAAGGAAGAUUAAUACAAGAUGGCAUCAUGAGUCCGCAUGUUCACAUGAUUAAAGGUAUUCCGGUAGACGAUGGGGAUGCGUUCCAUUAGAUAGUAGGCGGGGUAACGGCCCACCUAGUCUUCGAUGGAUAGGGGUUCUGAGAGGAAGGUCCCCCACAUUGGAACUGAGACACGGUCCAAACUCCUACGGGAGGCAGCAGUGAGGAAUAUUGGUCAAUGGGCGAGAGCCUGAACCAGCCAAGUAGCGUGAAGGAUGACUGCCCUAUGGGUUGUAAACUUCUUUUAUUAAAGGAAUAAAGUCGGGUAUGGAUACCCGUUUGCAUGUACUUUAUGAAUAAGGAUCGGCUAACUCCGUGCCAGCAGCCGCGGUAAUACGGAGGAUCCGAGCGUUAUCCGGAUUUAUUGGGUUUAAAGGGAGCGUAGAUGGAUGUUUAAGUCAGUUGUGAAAGUUUGCGGCUCAACCGUAUAAUUGCAGUUGAUACUGGAUAUCUUGAGUGCAGUUGAGGCAGGCGGAAUUGGUGGUGUAGCGGUGAAAUGCUUAGAUAUCACGAAGAACUCCGAUUGGGAAGGCAGCCUGCUAAGCUGCAACUGACAUUGAGGCUCGAAAGGGUGGGUAUCAAACAGGAUUAGAUACCCUGGUAGUCCCACACGGUAAACGAUGAAUACUCGCUGUUUGCGAUAUACGGCAAGCGGCCAAGCGAAAGCGUUAAGUAUUCCACCUGGGGAGUACGCCGGCAACGGUGAAACUCAAAGGAAUUGACGGGGGCCCGCACAAGCGGAGGAACAUGUGGUUUAAUUCGAUGAUACGCGAGGAACCUUACCCGGGCUUAAAUUGCAGAUGAAUUACGGUGAAAGCCGUAAGCCGCAAGGCAUCUGUGAAGGUGCUGCAUGGUUGUCGUCAGCUCGUGCCGUGAGGUGUCGGCUUAAGUGCCAUAACGAGCGCAACCCUUGUUGUCAGUUACUAACAGGUCAUGCUGAGGACUCUGACAAGACUGCCAUCGUAAGAUGUGAGGAAGGUGGGGAUGACGUCAAAUCAGCACGGCCCUUACGUCCGGGGCUACACACGUGUUACAAUGGGGGGUACAGAGGGCCGCUACCACGCGAGUGGAUGCCAAUCCCAAAAACCUCUCUCAGUUCGGACUGGAGUCUGCAACCCGACUCCACGAAGCUGGAUUCGCUAGUAAUCGCGCAUCAGCCACGGCGCGGUGAAUACGUUCCCGGGCCUUGCACUCACCGCCCGUCA
rnacentral:rRNA from 1 species